UACGUAGGCAGCGAGCGUUGUUCGGAAUUACUGGGCGUAAAGCGUGUGUAGGCGGCUUCGUAAGUCGGAUGUGAAAGCCCCGGGCUCAACCCGGGAAGUGCACUCGAUACUGCGAAGCUUGAGUACUGGAGAGGUUGGUGGAAUUCUCGGUGUAGAGGUGAAAUUCGUAGAUAUCGAGAGGAACACCGGUGGCGAAGGCGGCCAACUGGACAGAUACUGACGCUGAGACACGAAAGCGUGGGGAGCAAACAGG
rnacentral:rRNA from 1 species